rnacentral:miRNA from 1 species
UGAGUGCCGGUGCCUGCCCUG